rnacentral:rRNA from 1 species
UACGGGGGGGGCAAGCGUUGUUCGGAAUUACUGGGCGUAAAGGGCUCGUAGGUGGCCAACUAAGUCAGACGUGAAAUCCCUCGGCUUAACCGGGGAACUGCGUCUGAUACUGGAUGGCUUGAGAUUGGGAGAGGGAUGCGGAAUUCCAGGUGUAGCGGUGAAAUGCGUAGAUAUCUGGAGGAACACCGGUGGCGAAGGCGACAUCCUGGACCAACACUGACACUGAGGAGCGAAAGCCAGGGGAGCAAACGGG